UGAAUGGCCAUGGUGGAGGUCUUUAUCCACAGGAAAAGAUGUAAAACUUGUAAAAAUACAUUUUUAAGUCCAAACAUCUAUGGCUUUCUUUAUAAAUAUCCAAAGCCAUCCAGUGGGCCAGUUUGGAGUCUUUACCAGGCUCAUUUUGUCCCCCAAACCUUAUGUUUGACACCCCUGACCUACAGUGAGAACAUCUUGUUCUUCCGUCUUAUGUGUUGUUUGUUUUCGGUGCUUAUUUCAAUUUGUAGAAGAAGCAAUUUUUUUUUCUUCUUUUUCCUUCUAGUUCCUGUCGAUUGUACAGCCCUAAGAACAAGAAGCCUUAAUAUUUCAUAGUCAUGGAUCUCAGCGUGUUAAUCGACUGUUGGAAAACACACGCACACACCUCAUUACUGACGAAGCAGGUGGCCACAUUCCUGACGAUGAAUCCAAGAAUAACAAGCACACUGAUACAAAAAGCGAAGAAGAAAGAUUUAUUGAUCUCCACACAGAAACGCGUUGAACUGAGGGCACUGGUUUAAAGAGAGUGGAAACUGGACAUAAGGACAUUCUUAUGAUCAUCGUAGUUUUGUAAGACAUUUAAAAAAUUUCUUUAUGCUUUGGGAGCAAAACUUGUUUGGAUCAAAUGAAGCGUUUGGAUCAAUUGCUCAUGAGAGCAAAGUUAGGAUUUGUAUUGAUGGAUCAUUAUCGCCAUUCCCAUCAGAAAAAAGGAGGUCUUACAUUCUUCACAAGAAAAAAGGGUGGAUUUAUCUGUUUAAUUACACCAGAAGUGGGCUUUAUGCAUAGUGUUGAUGAAAAUAAUAAAUAUUCUCUUGACUGAAUUGAAGAGGCAGCUUACACCUGCCAGUGGAAGCUGACUGUUCUUUUUGCCAUGCUGGUAAUCCGGGCUGUAUUUCCUACAUUUAUUAAAGCGGCUGAGAAGGCGUCGCACACUCGCACUGGGUUCAUGUUUGCUCUUUAAGUGUGGAGCCGACCUGAAAGUCCUACACAUCUGUUACUGUCACUGCCAUGCAAGUGGAAUGGAAAGACGAGAAGAGACAAACACAUGACUGUGCAGAACCCACAGUGCUGUUGAAUCAAACAUGCACACCGACACGCCAACCCCUGUCCGCCCGUGAGGACUUGAGCAUCCUUCUCAGUUUCAGCCGCAUCAGCCUGCCAGCAUCCAAUCGUAUAUAAAGAUGCUGUUACAGCACGUAAACCUUACUUAACACAAGUCUCAGAACAGUUUGUGUUGUGGUAUAUUACAUUUUGCUAGAAGACAGAAAUAACUGAGUAUUUAAAGGGAUCAUGAGUGUUACUGCCACCUUUUGGAGAAUUUAUUGCCACUGACUGACUUGUUUUGGUUGCUCGGUGUUUGGUGUUUUGUUUUUUCCCCCUCUCCUUCUGAACAAUUGCAGAGCCUGUUAUAAGGAUCUUCCUUUUGUAGAACUGAUUUGUCAUUGUUGUUUUUUUACUCUGUAUGAUAGUUGUAAGAGUUUUGUUUGUAUCAUUUAAAAUGUUUUUGUUUGUUUAAAUUGUUUUGAGUGUAAGAUGACCCCGUUUAGAUUCCAGGAACAAAGUGAGGUGUUUGCUUUAGUGCCAGAUGUGGGGGGUAAAAAAAAUAUUAGAAAUGGCUGCAACAUCACAUGUUGUGACUCUAAUUUUUUAUUUAUUUAUUUUUUUUAACUCUUUGAACACAAAAACCUGUCAGGCCGUUUGUAGUUUGAUUGUUCUGCUGUUUGACAGUUUCUCUUAAAAUGAAAUUUAAUGGGUUUUUUCUUUAGCUUACCCCCUUCUUCUGCUUCCCCUGAUGUCAGACUCUUUGAUGAGCCUGUUGAUUAGUUUCUGAGGAAGGUGCAGAAGCGGAGGUCUGCACAAUCUGCAACAAAAUUUGCUGUUUCAUAUUAAUAUGAAGCAUAAAAAAAUAAAAAAGGGUGGCCCUGGUCAUUUUCCUUACCAUGGGAGUUUUGAUAUUGGUUUCUCACCAGUGCCUGAAUAUGUCUCUGCUACACGGUGGAUAAUGUUGCAUUUAAGGAUUUGUAGGUUAUACCUUUUUUUUCCCCCCCUUAAAUAAUAGAGAUGUAUAAAAGCAUAUGCACUUCAGCAAAACCAGUCAGUGUCUCAAACACCUAAAUGAAGAGUCACUCUCUGUGACCAGCUUCUGUGUGUAUGUCUCAUGAGAUGUAAGAUGACUUAUGUGGUCUACAACUUUGAUGCUGAAAACUGUACUUCUUGUCUUUUGUGUUCAGAAUUUUACUUAUGAUUUUGUUCUGAACUGGCAUGUGCAUUGAUACAUAUGUACAGCUGUAUGAUAUGUCCUUAUCAGCUUUAUCAUUGCAAGCUGAUACUGAUUUGUAACAGUAUUUGUCAUUAUUUCACAAAGUUGGCCUGUGGAGAAGCCCCCAAAUAUCAUUUUCUUUGCCACUCACUCUGGUCUUUUUCCCUCCACAAUAACGUGUGUGUGUGUGUGUGUGUGUGUUUGUGAUGUGGUUUAUUGCUACUGAACACUUUGAUUUCUUUACAUGAAAGAUGCAGUAAAUCUGUAUCAAACACAUGCACCUGACCCUUUCUGCCCACCACAACAGCUGACCUGCUAUAGAUCUGUCUUCACUCAUGUUUGAGGACAACAUCUAUGUAGGCUAUGUCCUCAAAGUGCCUCCAGUUUCCUAUUUUUUAUAUAUAAAGUAGAUAUUGAGAACUGUUGUGUAUAUAACAGUAAUGUAGCAAUAAAUGUGCCAUUUUUAUUAACAAAACCUUCCCCUUUUUAGUGUCUUGGUUUUUGAAUAUACUGCAUUACCUGGGUGAAUCAGGAUCUGUUUGAUCUACUCAAAUGUUUUCCAGCCAUGUUUAAAGAUGUAAAAAAAAA
ensembl:lncRNA